rnacentral:tRNA from 2 species
GGGGUCGUAGCUCAGAGGCAGAGCGCGUUGUCCCGUAUGGGGCUCCGAGGUUGGAGGUUCGAAUCCUCCCGGCCCCA